rnacentral:rRNA from 1 species
CAACCUGCCCACCACUUGGGGAUAACCUUGCGAAAGUAAGACUAAUACCCAAUGACGUCUCUAGAAGACAUCUGAAAGAGAUUAAAGAUUUAUCGGUGAUGGAUGGGGAUGCGUCUGAUUAGCUUGUUGGCGGGGUAACGGCCCACCUAGGCAACGAUCAGUAGGGGUUCUGAGAGGAAGGUCCCCCACAUUGGAACUGAGACACGGUCCAAACUCCUACGGGAGGCAGCAGUGAGGAAUAUUGGUCAAUGGACGAGAGUCUGAACCAGCCAAGUAGCGUGCAGGAAGACGGCCCUAUGGGUUGUAAACUGCUUUUAUAAGGGAAUAAAGUGAGUCUCGUGAGACUUUUUGCAUGUACCUUAUGAAUAAGGACCGGCUAAUUCCGUGCCAGCAGCCGCGGUAAUACGGAAGGUCCGGGCGUUAUCCGGAUUUAUUGGGUUUAAAGGGAGCGUANGCCGGAGAUUAAGCGUGUUGUGAAAUGUAGACGCUCAACGUCUGCACUGCAGCGCGAACUGGUUUCCUUGAGUACGCACAAAGUGGGCGGAAUUCGUGGUGUAGCGGUGAAAUGCUUAGAUAUCACGAAGAACUCCGAUUG